UACCUACUCCCUCCAUUCCAAAUUACUCGUCGCAGAAGUGGAUGUAUCUAGAACUAAAAUACAUCUAGAUACAUCUAUAGUUGCGACAAGUAAUUCGAAACGGAGGGAGUAUGUU
rfam:Triticum urartu cultivar G1812 contig1243196, whole genome shotgun sequence.